AUACGGAGGAUCCGAGCGUUAUCCGGAUUUAUUGGGUUUAAAGGGUGCGCAGGCGGGAGAUUAAGUCGGCGGUGAAAUUUUGCAGCUCAACUGUAAAAGUGCCUUCGAAACUGGUUUCCUUGAGUGUAGAUGAAGUAGGCGGAAUUUGUGGUGUAGCGGUGAAAUGCAUAGAUAUCACGAGGAACUCCGAUUGCGCAGGCAGCUUACUAAACUACUACUGACGCUCAGGCACGAAUGCGUGGGGAUCAAACAGGAUUAGAUACCCUGGUAGUCCACGCAGUAAACGAUGAUUACUAGCUGUUUGCGAUACACAGUAAGCGGCUUAGCGAAAGCGUUAAGUAAUCCACCUGGGGAGUACGUUCGCAAGAAUGAAACUCAAAUGAAUUGGCGGGG
rnacentral:rRNA from 1 species